rnacentral:rRNA from 1 species
UGCAGUCGAGCGGGGACUUCGGUCCUAGCGGCGGACGGGUGAGUAACGCGCGGUAACGUACCCUUUGCUACGGAAUAGCCUCGGGAAACUGGGAGUAAUACCGUAUGUGUCCUUCGGGAGAAAGAUUUAUCGGCAAAGGAUCGGCCCGCGUUGGAUUAGGUAGUUGGUGGGGUAAUGGCCUACCAAGCCGACGAUCCAUAGCUGGUUUGAGAGGAUGAUCAGCCACACUGGGACUGAGACACGGCCCAGACUCCUACGGGAGGCAGCAGUGGGGAAUCUUAGACAAUGGGGGAAACCCUGAUCUAGCCAUGCCGCGUGAGCGAUGAAGGCCUUAGGGUUGUAAAGCUCUUUCGGGGGGGAAGAUAAUGACUGUACCCCCAGAAGAAGCCCCGGCUAACUCCGUGCCAGCAGCCGCGGUAAUACGGAGGGGGCUAGCGUUGUUCGGAAUUACUGGGCGUAAAGCGCACGUAGGCGGACCGGAAAGUCAGAGGUGAAAUCCCAGAGCUCAACUUUGGAACUGCCUUUGAAACUCCUGGUCUUGAGGUCGAGAGAGGUGAGUGGAAUUCCGAGUGUAGAGGUGAAAUUCGUA